UAAUUACCGAAAAUCCCCACCUACAAUCGGCGAUUGAAGGAUUUGGAAGAAAUUCUCCAAUCGCCAGCAAAACCAACAGAUCGGCGAGGAAAUCAACAGUUCGGUGGUCUCAAAGCCGGAGACGUACUAAAACAUUUCCCAAUCAACUAAAAUACAACUACUGAAGACCACAAAUUUGGGGAAAAAAUCGAUCGAUUAUAUACGGAAGAUAAAAUAGAAGAAAGAGCAGUCCCCCAAAAGCAAUCAAAGCUUAAAAUGACAGCAAAUAGAGAUUAUAAGAAAAAGAAAAAAGAACCCUAGAGAACAUUAUAACCGUCUCUCUCACUCCACUCUGCAAAAAAAAGAAGAAAGAGGAAGAACCCUAGAGAACAUAAACAGCCGCCUCCAGCUCCUCUCAUUACCUAAAGAGCACAAAUGACAUGGCAGGCAUGGGAGGCUACAACCUACUCUACUGCAUCAGCAAAAUAUCAACAUAUCAAUAUGUCAAUAUAUGAAGUUCAUGAAGCAUGGCAACGUAAGGUCAACAUAGGCGUUAAAUAUACUCGCAGGCUGGCAAAUCACAACCAGUAGAGAAGUCAAAUCACGAGGAAAGUUCAUCUGAUGUUCAACCACAAGGAAAGUUCAUUUGAUGUUCAGCCGGAAGUAAGCACUACAAGCCAAAUCCCUACGCCAGAAGAUAAAAAUGAAGUUAUGAUCAAAUUACAAUGAAGUAGUAAAUUUAUAGAAUGAAGUUAACUGUGUUAUAUGAAUUUUCUUUACUGUGUGUUGUAUGCAUAUUUUUGUGA